AGAUACUCCGCAAUCAUAAAUUGGCAAAACACCUAUUUUGUUUCAUUUUUGACGAUGUAUGUGGGAGUAAAUUUUCUUUCGGUGUGAG
rnacentral:tRNA from 1 species